AGGGACCCAACCCUACCCAGACCAACCUGGCCACAGCUCUCCCUUUGUGAGAGGUCGCCGGAGUGGAUGGACUGGUUAAGACAUGGCCUCCAUUCCUCCUUCCCCAGGACCUUGAAAGCUGGACUUCCCAAGUGAGGAAAGAGCUGUGAGCUCAAUGAAAGCCCUACUGGAAGCCCCGCCUGCAUCUAUCUUCAUUUCAGCUGAGAGAAAACCAGCCCUUGAGAUACACAACACUUUCUGGAAAGGGCACUGUCAGGCAAGUGUGCCUCACACUUAGGAAAAGGAGGAGUUAUCUAUUCAUCCCAUCUGCUGCAAAGAGAAGGAAAAUCAUCCAAUGCCAA